rnacentral:rRNA from 1 species
AACGCUAGCUACAGGCUUAACACAUGCAAGUCGAGGGGCAGCAUGGUCUUAGCUUGCUAAGGCCGAUGGCGACCGGCGCACGGGUGAGUAACACGUAUCCAACCUGCCGUCUACUCUUGGACAGCCUUCUGAAAGGAAGAUUAAUACAAGAUGGCAUCAUGAGUCCGCAUGUUCACAUGAUUAAAGGUAUUCCGGUAGACGAUGGGGAUGCGUUCCAUUAGAUAGUAGGCGGGGUAACGGCCCACCUAGUCUUCGAUGGAUAGGGGUUCUGAGAGGAAGGUCCCCCACAUUGGAACUGAGACACGGUCCAAACUCCUACGGGAGGCAGCAGUGAGGAAUAUUGGUCAAUGGGCGCAGGCCUGAACCAGCCAAGUAGCGUGAAGGAUGACUGCCCUAUGGGUUGUAAACUUCUUUUAUAAAGGAAUAAAGUCGGGUAUGUAUACCCGUUUGCAUGUACUUUAUGAAUAAGGACCGGCUAAUUCCGUGCCAGCAGCCGCGGUAAUACGGAGGAUCCGAGCGUUAUCCGGAUUUAUUGGGUUUAAAGGGAGCGUAGGCGGAUGCUUAAGUCAGUUGUGAAAGUUUGCGGCUCAACCGUAAAAUUGCAGUUGAUACUGGGUGUCUUGAGUACAGUAGAGGCAGGCGGAAUUCGUGGUGUAGCGGUGAAAUGCUUAGAUAUCACGAAGAACUCCGAUUG